UACGUAGGGGGCAAGCGUUGUCCGGAAUCAUUGGGCGUAAAGCGCGCGUAGGCGGCCCUGUAAGUCCGUUGUGAAAGUCAAAGGCUCAACCUUUGAAAGCCGAUGGAUACUGCAGGGCUAGAGUCCGGAAGAGGCGAGUGGAAUUCCUGGUGUAGCGGUGAAAUGCGCAGAUAUCAGGAGGAACACCAAUUGCGAAGGCAGCUCGCUGGGACGGUACUGACGCUGAGACGCGAAAGCGUGGGGAGCAAACAGG
rnacentral:rRNA from 1 species